AUUGUACAUCGAACUGAUCAUUACAUCUGGUUGGCAACAUGUGAAUGGUCUGUGUAUGAUCAAUGAAACGAUGGAGCAUGUAUUGUUGUUAGUAUGUUGAAGAGACGGAAAGAUUGAAGUGUUGGAGAGGUUUGGAAGGGGGAUGAGGGAGUUUUUUUUUUAGAAGUUAGUAGGGCUUUUUUUUUUCCCUUCUUUUUUUCUCAGAAGUACUGAGUUAGGUAGGAGGAUUUAGAAAUGUGGAGCUAAUGUUGUGAUUGACCAGACACUCCAGCACAAUAGGUGGUGGCAAACACCUUUUAACAUUUGUUUGCGGACCCCCGUUAUAUCAUAGAAGAAUAACAAGCCCGUCUGAGUUCUUAUUUGGUCUUGAACACAGCUCGUAUUCUGUGUUUACAUUGGCGAAGUCUUCCCCCCCACCCUGUCUUUCAAGUGGACGUUUUUCCAAAUGACCCCGUCGUUUCAACAAGUGGUUAGAUGGAGAGAAAAAAAUAUAUCAAGUGCUUAUAGUUAGUUAGCUCGUAGAUUUAUCAAAAGCAGAGUGGGUAGACACUUUUUGUCGAUGUGCACAAGAGUAACUAACUUAACUAGCCCAUUUUGCCUGCUGGGUUCUUCUAGAUGUAGCGAACUAAAUCUAGUCAAGUAAUUUAGUCAACAAACAUUCAACACUGAAAGUAAACAUUUUGAUUUCCUUGCUCAAAUAUGGGGAUGUGUUUACCGUGCCUUGGUGGAUCUGGAAACGACUUGUCCCCCACAACAGAUCGAGAGACAAGGAGACGCCAGCUGGCUGAGCAGAGACAGAAAGAGAAAUUCUUCAGUCAAAGCCAAUUGUAUCCAACCCAUAAAGCAUGUCGGCCUACUAAAGCAUCGAGACAACCUCCAGGGGCGUCAAAAACCCCCAAGCAGUUGAGAGAAAUAAAAAGAAUAAGGAGAUGGAGAAACAAGAGAUGAGACCGUCUCCACCUGGAGGAGGAGGGCUGAAGGUAGGCUAAAGAUGGACAUGGAGAGAUCCUGGAAGUCUCAAUCUAGACUGAGGUUCAGCUAACAACAUGAAGAGUGUUGGUACCAGUUGACUUGAAAAGGCUUUUUUGGGGUGUUGGCCCUUCUACGACAUUUUUAAAUAUUUUUUUAAAUAAAAGCUUAUUUUUUUUAGAGGGGAUUGUUUGCCAGGCUUCGACACUGGUAAAAAAAUAAAGAUUCUACUGCCCAAUGUUGGCAGUGUGAAUCACAGGACGUGCCUCCCUUAAUGCCAAGAUAUACAAGAGAAUAUGCAAGCCAGCCAAUGGAGCUUUGGAACAGACAGGGUGGCAUAGCUAUGAAUAGAAUAUACACACUCAGAGGAAAUAUGCUCACACUACAUCCAUAAACUGUACCAGGCAUCUUGCAGCGUACUCUCUCUUUGUCCUCUCGCCUCACGCUCCUCCUUCUUUCUCUCAGCCAUUUCAACUUGGCCAGCUUUAACAUCAUGGUGCUUACAUGAUUACUUCUUUUGCAAUCGUUUCAGACAUUUUGAACUUUGAGGAAUAUUCUCAUUCUUGUGACCUAUUUACUGUAUAGUACAUUUUCCUUCUAAAAUGAUUUUAUUCAACAAAGUCCUUUUAAUGUUCAAAAUAGGCCUAGAUGAUUCAAAUGACGUUUUCUAUUGUAGAUCAGUGUGAAAAGAACUACAUUUCCCAUACCUACUGAUGAACCACAUGAAUGUUUUAGAGUUCAUGCACCAGCACUAUUCAGUUUACUUUUCUAUUGUAGAUCAGUGUGAAAAGAACUACAUUUCCCAUACCUACUGAUGAACCACAUGAAUGUUUUAGAGUUCAUGCACCAGCACUAUUCAGUUUACUUUUCUAUUGUAGAUCAGUGUGAAAAGAACUACAUUUCCCAUAGCUACUGAUGAACCAUAUGAAUGUUUUAGAGUUCAUGCACCAGCACUAUUCAGUUUACUUUUCUAUUGUAGAUCAGUGUGAAAAGAACUACAUUUCCCAUAGCUACUGAUGAACCACAUGAAUGUUUUAGAGUUCAUGCACCAGCACUAUUCAGUUAACAUUUCACUUUAGUGUUUAAUUUUCAUAUGUCUGUGCAAUAUAAGUUAUUUGCUACACAUUGUAAUGGUUUCUAUCGGUUUGUAAUGUAUGAAGAAGAUGCUUUAUUUAAAUGAGAAAUUUGAGUUGUGAAAGCCUGAUGAAAGUGUUUAUGCAUGUCACGAGUCCGACCGAAGGUGGCUCCCCUUCCCGUUCGGGUGGCGCUCGGCGGUCCGUCGUCGCCGGCCUACUAGCUGCCACUGAUUUCUUUCCUCCCCCUCCUUAUGUGUUUAUUGAUAGCACCUGUUUUGAGUUGGUUGUAAUUAGUUGGGCUUUAUUAGUCAGCCGGCCCGCCCGUUUCUUUGUGCGGGAUUGAUUAUUGUAACCCUGGUGUUUGUUAUUGUCGAACUUGUUGGUUGUAUGAUCGUGUAUAGUGCUGGACUGUUUUCGUUCCCCGUGUCUGGGGCAUUUUGUUUUGAGCACCCAGUGUUUAGUGGGGUGGCCGUGGUUCACCGUGUGUUGCAUUAAAGGAGCACUAUAUUGAA